rnacentral:rRNA from 1 species
GAUGAACGCUGACAGAAUGCUUAACACAUCAGCAAUUGAUUGGUGGCGGACGGGUGAGUAACGCGUACAGAACUUACCUCACAGUUAGGGACGACAUUUGGAAACGAAUGCUAAUACCUACUACUGUGAGAGCGGUUUGCGUCCCAUUAGCUAGUUGGGGAGGUAACGGCUCACCAAGGCGAUGAUGGGUAGCCGGCCUGAGAGGGUGAUCGGCCACAAGGGGACUGAGAGACGGCCGUUACGCCUACGGGAGGCAGCAGUGGGGAAGAUUGGACAAUGUACCAAAGUCUGAUCCAGCAAUUCUGUGUGCACGAUGAAGUUUUCGGAAUGUAAAGUGCUUUCAGUUGGGAAGCGGUACCAACAGAAGAAGUGACGGCUAACUACGUGCCAGCAGCCGCGGUAAUUC